UACGAAGGGGGCUAGCGUUGUUCGGAUUUACUGGGCGUAAAGCGCACGUAGGCGGAUCGAUCAGUCAGGGGUGAAAUCCCAGAGCUCAACUCUGGAACUGCCUUUGAUACUGUCGAUCUGGAGUAUGGAAGAGGUGAGUGGAAUUCCGAGUGUAGAGGUGAAAUUCGUAGAUAUUCGGAGGAACACCAGUGGCGAAGGCGGCUCUCUGGUCCAUUACUGACGCUGAGGUGCGAAAGCGUGGGGAGCAAACAGG
rnacentral:rRNA from 1 species